AGCGAACGCUGGCGGCAGGCCUAACACAUGCAAGUCGAACGAACCUUUCGGGGUUAGUGGCGGACGGGUGAGUAACACGUGGGAACGUGCCUUUAGGUUCGGAAUAACUCAGGGAAACUUGUGCUAAUACCGAAUGUGCCCUUCGGGGGAAAGAUUUAUCGCCUUUAGAGCGGCCCGCGUCUGAUUAGCUAGUUGGUUGAGGUAAUGGCUCACCAAGGCGACGAUCAGUAGCUGGUCUGAGAGGAUGAUCAGCCACAUUGGGACUGAGACACGGCCCAAACUCCUACGGGAGGCAGCAGUGGGGAAUCUUGCGCAAUGGGCGAAAGCCUGACGCAGCCAUGCCGCGUGAAUGAUGAAGGUCUUAGGAUUGUAAAAUUCUUUCACCGGGGACGAUAAUGACGGUACCCGGAGAAGAAGCCCCGGCAAACUUCGUG
rnacentral:rRNA from 1 species